rnacentral:rRNA from 1 species
GAAUCAUUCACAAUGGGCGAAAGCCUGAUGGUGCGACGCCGCGUGAGGGAUGAAGGUCUUCGGAUUGUAAACCUCUGUCACCGGGGAAGAAACGCUUCAAUUUAACAGAUUGAAGCCUGACUUAACCCGGAGAGGAAGCAGUGGCUAACUCUGUGCCAGCAGCCGCGGUAAUACAGAGACUGCAAGCGUCAUUCGGAUUCACUGGGCGUAAAGGGUGCGCAGGCGGCCAGAUGUGUCAGGUGUGAAAGCCCGGGGCUUAACCCCGGAAUUGCGCCUGAAACUGUCUGGCUAGAGUACUGGAGAGGGUAGCGGAAUUCACGGUGUAGCAGUGAAAUGCGUAGAUAUCGUGAGGAACACCAGAGGCGAAGGCGGCUACCUGGACAGUAACUGACGCUCAGGCACGAAAGCGUGGGGAGCAAAAGGG